CAGGUAUCCAGUCUCUGUUUUGUUAGCUCACAUUUCUGUAAUUUCCUUUAUAAACCAAGGUUGUUGGACAUGUGUCUCAGUGAACCCAGCAAGGUAACAAUAUCAAAUUUCACAUUACAUAUUACUGAUCAACAUGGUAGUCUAGCUACACCAACAGCAGAAAUACUGAAGUCAAUACUGUAAAGUUUAACAGCAGCACACACUAUAAACUCCAAAAUAACCAUACAGUUAAUACCUAAUUUACCAUACCGGUAAUUUAAUUGGGCUGACUCUUUGUUAGGUGUGUUUAAUGUGCAGAAUAAUUCCCAAUUAUGUACAAUUAUAAUAUGUUAACAUGGACUUAUGUACAUAAAGCCAUUAAUAAUUAACUGUACGUAGCUAUUUGCUCUUUGAUUAUCUAGACAGUGUGAAGAAGUGAAGUAUUGAAAUUAUUUUAUGUUGCAUAAUGACAACAUGUUGCCCCUAUACAUUUAAGGACAAAGUUCAAUGACCGCCACCUGCUGGAUGGUGAGUGCAGAGGGGCGUGUAAUUGUUGAGCUGGACAAAGAGAACACCUUUGCUGAUGCGAUGUCUUCUUUGGUUCAUUCUAUGUAUUGAACCUGGAAUACCAGGAGUCAGCGUGUGCAACAUUGGAACUGAUUCAGAGGUUUUUUGUAAGGAUAAACCCUGAAGAGGGAACAAAAUGUACCUCCAAGGUCGGCACAAGCAGAAAGACUGGGACCACUGUGAAGAAAAAGGUUGUUCACAUUAACCUUCAUGUCACAACUUUCCUCCAGCGGCUUAUUGAAUUUGAGUGGAAAACUUCAAAUUAGAUGAUCCGUGGCCCAUGCUUUCUGGACAUUUACACAAGACGAACACCAAUGAAGACAAGCUCUCUCACCAUCUUACAAGACGCUGUCUCUGUCCAACAGGUUUUUUGAGUGCAACAGUUUUGAUUUUUUUUUUCCUUCUUUUACCCGUUUGUUAAAGAUUAUUUCAGCUACUUACACUUUAAUUGUCACAUGUAUUGGCUCACCCUACAAAUCAAUUAACUCAGUCCACAAAGCAAGGUCAGGGUUCAGUGCAGGUCAGUCAAUUUCCUUCACACCACACAUGCUCAUCCAUGUCGUUGUGGACCCUGCUUUGUGCAUUGAUUUGGUGGUGUGAGCCAGUAUUUUGGACAAAGUGUAUAUAGAGGCAGAAGUGUGGGGCUUGAUAUUAUAUUCAUUUCAAUUCAGUUUAUUUGUAUGGUGCCAACAAAAUGAAUGCCAGGGCACUUCACAGUGUAGGUUUAAGACCCUACAAAAUAUAACUAAGAAAACCCAACACUUGAGCAUAUGUUGUCUGCCAUGAUAUGGAUAUGACAUAAUAUCG
ensembl:lncRNA